UGCGUAGGUGGUUUUAUAUGUCGGAUGUGAAAGCCCAUGGCUCAACUGUGGAAUUGCAUUCGAAACUGUAGGACUAGAGUACAGGAGGGGAGAUCGGAAUUCUUGGUGUAGCGGUGAAAUGCGUUGAUAUCAAGAAGAACACCGGCGGCGAAGGCGGAUCUCUGGAAUGUUACUGACACUGAUGCACGAAAGCUGGGGGAGCAAACAGGAUUAGAUACCCUGGUAGUCC
rnacentral:rRNA from 1 species